UACGUAGGGGGCAAGCGUUGUCCGGAUUUACUGGGCGUAAAGAGCGUGUAGGCGGCCGAACAGGUCCGUUGUGAAAACUGGAGGCUUAACCUCCAGACGUCGACGGAAACCGUAUGGCUAGAGUCCGGAAGAGGAGAGUGGAAUUCCUGGUGUAGCGGUGAAAUGCGCAGAUAUCAGGAAGAACACCAAUGGCGAAGGCAGCUCUCUGGGACGGUACUGACGCUGAGACGCGAAAGCGUGGGGAGCAAACAGG
rnacentral:rRNA from 1 species